UUUAGUUUAAAACCCCGAAACUAAGUGAGCUACCUCGAGGCAGCCUAUGCAUUAGGGCCAACCCGUCUCUGUGGCAAAAGAGUGGGACGACCUCCAGGUAGGGGUGACAGACCUACCGAACUUAGUGAUAGCUGGUUGCCUAGUAAAUGAAUAAAAGUUCAGCCUCAUGCUCCUCACAUCACAUACAUGUCUUAAACAAAGAACCAGAGAAAUACAUGAGAGUUAGUCAAAGGGGGUACAGCCCCUCUGAAACAGAAUACAACCUUACCAGGAGGUUAAAGAUUAUACUAAACAAAAUACCUGCUACAGUGGGCCUAAAAGCAGCCACCUGAACAGAAAGCGUUAAAGCUCUAGCAGAAAACAAUUUAUUAUUCAAAUAUUAAAAUCUAAAACCCCUAAACAUACUAGGCCGCCCCAUGCCCCCAUGGAAGAGAUACUGCUAAAAUGAGUAAUAAGAAGAUUAACCUUCUCCUAAAAGCCCAAGUGUAUGCUAGAUCGGAUAAACCACUAGCAAUUAUCGAGCUCAACUAAAGAGAGCAAUGUAAUAAUACUAAAAAUCAAGAAAUAACUACAACAUAACACCGUUAAACCCACACUGGAGGGCCGCCAACAAGGAAAGACUAAAAGAAAAGGAAGGAACUCGGCAAACACAAGCUUCGCCUGUUUACCAAAAACAUCGCCUCCUGCAAAACCCAACGUAUAGGAGGUCUUGCCUGCCCAGUGACAAGUUAAACGGCCGCGGUAUUCUGACCGUGCGAAGGUAGCGCAAUCACUUGUCUUUUAAAUGAAGACCUGUAUGAAUGGUAGAACGAGAGCUUAACUGUCUCCCUUUUCAGGUCAAUGAAAUUGAUCUGCCCGUGCAGAAGCGGACAUAGAAAUACAAGACGAGAAGACCCUUUGGAGCUUAAGAUAAAAGACCACCUAUGUCAAUAGAUAUACCUAAACUAAAUAGUGCCUGGUCCAAUUCUUCAGUUGGGGCGACCACGGGAGAAAACAAAGCUCCCAUGCGGAUAGGGGCCCAGCCCUAAAACCAAGAAAGACAUUUCUAAGACGCAGAACAUCUGACCAUAAAGAUCCGGCUUCCAGCCGAUCAACGGACCAAGUUACCCUAGGGAUAACAGCGCAAUCCCCUUUCAGAGUCCAUAUCGACAAGGGGGUUUACGACCUCGAUGUUGGAUCAGGACAUCCUAAUGGUGCAGCCGCUAUUAAG
rnacentral:rRNA from 1 species